CGAAUCCUACCCGCAGGUUCAGGGCCUUCAGUAAGACCCUAAGAACAAUUUUUGGAGGCCCAGCACCAUACUGGGCU
rnacentral:snRNA from 1 species